rnacentral:rRNA from 1 species
AACGAACGCUGGCGGCAGGCCUAACACAUGCAAGUCGAGCGCGCCCUUCGGGGUGAGCGGCGGACGGGUGAGUAACGCGUGGGAACGUGCCCUUUUCUACGGAAUAGCCUCGGGAAACUGAGAGUAAUACCGUAUACGCCCUUUGGGGGAAAGAUUUAUCGGAAAAGGAUCGGCCCGCGUUGGAUUAGGUAGUUGGUGGGGUAAUGGCCUACCAAGCCGAAGAUCCAUAGCUGGUUUGAGAGGAUGAUCAGCCACACUGGGACUGAGACACGGCCCAGACUCCUACGGGAGGCAGCAGUGGGGAAUCUUAGACAAUGGGGGCAACCCUGAUCUAGCCAUGCCGCGUGAGUGAUGAAGGCCUUAGGGUUGUAAAGCUCUUUCAGCUGGGAAGAUAAUGACGGUACCAGCAGAAGAAGCCCCGGCUAACUCCGUG